CAUUCUCUCUCUAAUCACUACCUGGGGGUAUGUAACUCAUGAUACCUGGUGACUUCACACCUCUAAGGGCUUUCCUCAAGAUAUGCAAUGUCACCUGUCGGUAUUGCCUAUAUGAAAGUUGACAUAGUGGGUUAUGUCACAUUUAGGCAAUGCGCCCUACAUAGGGAGUUGUUCUCUCACCCCUUAUAAACUUGUUGUAUGUCUUAUGAAGACUGUAUGCAUGCUAUAUAAAGCCUUUAUAAGUUGUAUUUAGUUUAAUCACAGUCUAUCCUUCUGCUUUACCAACACCAGAGACCAUGGUGGAGAGAGUUGUAUCAAGCCUGGACCUGAGAACACCAGAGACCAUGGUGGAGAGAGUUGUAUCAAGCCUGGACCUGAGAACACCAGAGACCAUGGUGGAGAGAGUUGUAUCAAGCCUGGACCUGAGAACACCAGAGACCAUGGUGGAGAGAGUUGGAUCAAGCCUGGACCUGAGAACACCAGAGACCAUGGUGGAGAGAGUUGUAUCAAGCCUGGACCUGAGGACACCAGAGACCAUGGUGGAGAGAGUUGGAUCAAGCCUGGACCUGAGAACACCAGAGACCAUGGUAGAGAGAGUUGUAUCAAGCCUGGACCUGAGGACACCAGAGACCAUGGUGGAGAGAGUUGGAUCAAGCCUGGACCUGAGAACACCAGACACCAUGGUGGAGGGAGUUGGAUCAAGCCUGGACCUGAGAACACCAGAUACCAUGGUGGAGAGAGUUGGAUCAGGCCUGGACCUGAGAAAUGGAUUCCUCAGAGCUGUAAGACUUGUGACCAUGUUGAGGACUCCACACACUGGCUUCAGAUUGAACCCUUGACUUCCACUGUCCAGGGAGUGACAAUGUUCAG
rnacentral:lncRNA from 8 species